rnacentral:lncRNA from 1 species
CCUGUCGCAACAGCCCUGGAUGAAGAUCUUCCUUGCCUGUUGAACUUUGCCCAGUGCAAUUUUUGCUUUGACAAGAGGAAUGAUUAAAGCGCUGAGUCUUUGGAGUCAGACUGUCUGGAACCAAAUCCCAUCUCUGUGUCUUCCUAAAUGCACGACCUUCGAGCCAGUGCCCACUCCUGUGUCAACGGCCACCCAGACACCUGGUGCAGGUGCUUCAGGAAUACAACUGACGGAGCCUGGAGGAGGUGAGGAGCCGGGAACGAGGCAGAAGUGACCAGACUAGGCUAGGGCAGUUUCCUCACCUCUCCUGCGCCAAACUCUCAGAGUCAGCCUGUGCAAGGGCUUGGCCAAGGAAUGGGGAAAAAUGGAAGAGGAGCCUCUUUUCCUUCAAUGUGUGAACAGUAAGACGACAAACCCUGAGGCUUUUCCCCUGAGCCUGAUUUACCACAGCAUAGCAAAAAAGAGGAAAGAAAAAAG